rnacentral:rRNA from 1 species
CCUACGGGGGGCUGCAGUAAGGAAUAUUGGUCAAUGGAGGCAACUCUGAACCAGCCAUGCCGCGUGCAGGAAGACGGCCUAUGGGUUGUAAACUGCUUUUAUACGGGAAUAUGUACUGUAAGAAUAAGGAUCGGCUAACUCCGUGCCAGCAGCCGCGGUAAUAAGGAGGAUCCAAGCGUUAUCCGGAUUUAUUGGGUUUAAAGGGUGCGUAGGCGGCCUAUUAAGUCAGGUGUGAAAGACGGGGGCUCAACCAUCGCAGUGCCCUUGAUACUGAUGGGCUUGAAUACACUUGAGGUAGGCGGAAUGUGACAAGUAGCGGUGAAAUGCAUAGAUAUGUCACAGAACACCAAUUGCGAAGGCAGCUUACUAAGGUGCAUUGACGCUGAGGCACGAAAGCGUGGGGAUCAAACAGGAUUAGAUACCCUUGUAGUC